rnacentral:rRNA from 1 species
UACGGUAGGGUGCAAGCGUUGUCCGGAAUUAUUGGGCGUAAAGAGCUUGUAGGCGGUUUGUCGCGUCUGCUGUGAAAUCUCAAGGCUCAACCUUGAGCUUGCAGUGGGUACGGGCAGACUAGAGUGUGGUAGGGGAGACUGGAAUUCCUGGUGUAGCGGUGAAAUGCGCAGAUAUCAGGAGGAACACCGAUGGCGAAGGCAGGUCUCUGGGCCACUACUGACGCUGAGAAGCGAAAGCAUGGGGAGCGAACAGG